rnacentral:rRNA from 1 species
UACGUAGGGACCAAGCGUUGUUCGGAUUUACUGGGCGUAAAGGGCGCGUAGGCGGCCUACUAAGUCGGACGUGAAAUCCCUCGGCUCAACCGGGGAACUGCGUCCGAUACUGGUGGGCUCGAAUCCGGGAGAGGGAUGUGGAAUUCCAGGUGUAGCGGUGAAAUGCGUAGAUAUCUGGAGGAACAUCGGUGGCGAAGGCGGCAUCCUGGACCGGUAUUGACGCUGAGGCGCGAAAGCCAGGGGAGCAAACGGG